rnacentral:tRNA from 1 species
UGCCGGGUCGUCUAACGGUAGGACACAUUCCUCUGGAGAAUGGUAUGAACGUUCGAAUCGUUCCCCGGCAGCCA